CCAUAGUGAACGGUUCCUUGGAACGCGGAACGGUGCAACGUAAAAAAUCUUCGUCGCAGGGAAAGCCAAGUUUUUCUCGCGGCGUGCAAUACGACCAUACGCUGAGCAACGUGCUCGGACGACCAUGGCUGGAACGGAGACUCCGAACGUGAAAUCAGAGACGACGAGUGCACCAGUUGAAAAUAGCAAUGAGAAUCCACGCGAUCGUAAUCCGCCGGGCGGCGGUAAUCGUGGACCUCGCGGCCGAAAAGGUGGAACACGAUUUUCAGGAAACCGCGGCGGCGGAAUGGGCGGCAUUGGAGGCGGCGGCGGAAGAAACAAUGAAGCGAUGAAAAUGGGUGAUUCUAUGGAUGGUGGCAUGGAUAACCCAAUGUCUGAAGGCAUGGGUGGCGGAAUGGGAGGAGGUGGAAUGGGAGGUGGUGGCAUGGGCAUGAAUCGUGGUGGCGGAAUGCGUGGAGGAGGAAGAGGAGGUCGUGGCGGUGGCGAUAGAAGUAUGCCCAACAGAUCACAAGAUGAUCGAUUGAUGGAACGCAUUAUGGCCAUCAGUGGUCCUACCCAUGAACUGCCUUUACAGGACACAACAGAAAAGAAGUUUAGUGGCAGAAAUCGCUUAUAUAUUGGAAAUUUGACAAAUGAUGUAAGUGAGGAAGAAAUACAAACCAUGUUUCAAAAAUAUGGAGAAAUAUCCGAGCUGUUUGUGAACAAAGAGAAAAGCUUCGCCUUCCUCAGAAUGGAUUAUAAGGCAAAUGCUGAAGCAGCAAAGCGUGAACUAGAUGGUACGAUGCGCAAAGGUCGUGCAUUGAAAGUACGCUUUGCUCCUCAUUCAUCGACGAUAAAAAUAAAGAAUCUCACCCCAUGGACAUCUAACGAGCUUCUCGAGAGAGCCUUUAGUGUGUUUGGUGAAAUCGAACGCGCUAUUGUCAAAGUUGACGAGAGAGGUAAAAGCACUGGGGAAGGUAUCGUCGAAUUUUGUCGGAAACCGUCUGCUCAGCUGGCUUUAAGAAAAUGUACAGAGGGUUGUUACUUCAUUACUGCUUCACUUAGACCAGUAGUUGUGGAACCAUUUGAGCAACAAGAUGACGUGGAUGGCUAUCCUGAUAAGAAUUUGCCACGCAAGAAUCCGGAGUUCUUCAAAGCUCGUGACAUUGGACCACGCUUCGCACAAAUAGGUAGCUUCGAGCAUGAAUACGGUACAAGAUGGAAGCAGUUACACGAAUUAUACAAACAGAAGGAAGAGGCUCUUAAACGAGAAAUGGCAAUGGAAGAAGAAAAAUUGGAGGCCCAAAUGGAAUUUGCCAGAUACGAACAUGAGACGGAACUUCUGAGAGAACAACUGCGUAUGCGCGAGGCGGAUCGUGAAAGGCAGAAGAGAGAAUGGGAGAUGAAAGAGCGACAGGCCGAAGAGCAGAGGACUCGCGAAGAAGAAUUGAGACGGCGUCAGCAGGAAGAAAUGGCGAUGCGCAUCAGGAGACAGGAAGAGGAAUUACACAGGCGUCAACAGGAAAAUAACUUGUUUAUGCAGGAGCAGGCAAUUCGUAGCGGUGGUGGAAAAAAUUACGAUUCUGUCAGUAACAAUGACCGCGAUGGAUAUGGUCAACCUGAUGGCGGAAGCGGCAUGCCAGUGAUUAGCGCACUAGCUGGUUGAACAAAAAGGAUCAGAGCAAUCAGAAAUAUACAGUCUGAUGUCUUGAAACGACGCUCAUGCCUUACAACAUUACAUGAAGCAACAACUUUAUGUGUUUAAGGAAGAUCCGUGAUGAAGAAGAGGUAAAGCAAACUGAAGCGACACAGGAAGGCAACUGUAUUUUCGAGAGCUGAAGUCUGACGUCGACUACAAGGUGCUCAAGGAUACUUUUUAUCGACAAGUUAACAGACAGGGCCGCGAAACCUUAUGUCGAUUACAAGGUGCUCAAGGAUACUUUUCACCGAUCAAUUAGACAGAAAUUUUGAUGUGUGCGGUAAACACAGUCACAUAGAAUCCUGUAGUGCGGCCAACGAAAGAAACUUUAAAUAUCCAUAAAAUAUUUUUUUAACUAUUUAUAUACGUACUGAUUUUUUAUAUAUUUUAAUAAACA
rnacentral:misc_RNA from 1 species